rnacentral:rRNA from 1 species
GCUAAUACUCCAUAUACUCUAAGGAGGAAAGCGGGGGAUCGAAAGACCUCGUGCUUUAAGGGUGGCCGAUGUCUGAUUAGCUAGUUGGUAAGGUAAAGGCUUACCAAGGCGACGAUCAGUAGCUGGUCUGAGAGGACGAUCAGCCACACUGGGACUGAGACACGGCCCAGACUCCUACGGGAGGCAGCAGUGGGGAAUUUUGGACAAUGGGCGAAAGCCUGAUCCAGCCAUGCCGCGUGAGUGAAGAAGGCCUUCGGGUUGUAAAGCUCUUUCGGUCGGAAAGAAAUGUCUAUAAAUAAUACUUAUGGAAAAUGACGGUACCGACAUAAGAAGCACCGGCUAACUACGUGCCAGCAGCCGCGGUAAUACGUAGGGUGCAAGCGUUAAUCGGAAUUAUUGGGCGUAAAGGGUGCGCAGGCGGUAUUGUAAGUCAGAUGUGAAAGCCCCGGGCUUAACCUGGGAAUUGCGUUUGAAACUA